UACGUAGGGGGCAAGCGUUGUCCGGAUUUACUGGGCGUAAAGAGCUUGUAGGCGGUUUGUCGCGUCUGCUGUGAAAUUUCGGGGCUCAACCCCGAACUUGCAGUGGGUACGGGCAGACUAGAGUGUGGUAGGGGAGACUGGAAUUCCUGGUGUAGCGGUGAAAUGCGCAGAUAUCAGGAGGAACACCGAUGGCGAAGGCAGGUCUCUGGGCCACUACUGACGCUGAGAAGCGAAAGCAUGGGGAGCGAACAGG
rnacentral:rRNA from 1 species